GACACGACCGUACCGCAAACCGACACUGGUGCGCGAGAUGAGUAUUCUAAGGCGCUUGAGAGAACUCAGGAGAAGGAACUCGGCAAAUUGACACCGUAACUUCGGAAGAAGGUGUGCCUUUAGUAGGUGAACCAUUUACUUGGGGAGCCCAAUGAGGCUGCAAAAAAUCGGUGGCUGCAACUGUUUAUUAAAAACACAGCACUCUGCUAAGACGAAAGUCGACGUAUAGGGUGUGACGCCUGCCCGGUGCUGGAAGAUUAAAUGAUGGGGUGCAAGCUCUUGAUUGAAGUCCCAGUAAACGGCGGCCGUAACAAUAACGGUCCUAAGGUAGCGAAAUUCCUUGUCGGGUAAGUUCCGACCUGCACGAAUGGCGUAAUGAUGGCCACACUGUCUCCUCCUGAGACUCAGCGAAGUUGAAAUGUUUGUGAUGAUGCAAUCUCCCCGCGGAAAGACGGAAAGACCCCAUGAACCUUUACUGUAGCUUUGUAUUGGACUUUGAACAGAUCUGUGUAGGAUAGGUGGGAGGCUUUGAAGUGUGGUCGCUAGAUCGCAUGGAGCCAACGUUGAAAUACCACCCUGGUGUGUUUGAGGUUCUAACCUAGGUCCAUUAUCUGGAUCGGGGACAGUGCAUGGUAGGCAGUUUGACUGGGGCGGUCUCCUCCCAAAGUGUAACGGAGGAGUUCGAAGGUACGCUAGGUACGGUCGGACAUCGUGCUAAUAGUGCAAUGGCAUAAGCGUGCUUAACUGCGAGACUGACAAGUCGAGCAGAUGCGAAAGCAGGACAUAGUGAUCCGGUGGUUCUGUAUGGAAGGGCCAUCGCUCAACGGAUAAAAGGUACUCUGGAUAACAGGCUGAUACCGCCCAAGAGUUCAUAUCGACGGCGGUGUUUGGCACCUCGAUGUCGGCUCAUCUCAUCCUGGGGCUGUAGCCGGUCCCAAGGGUAUGGCUGUUCGCCAUUUAAAGAGGUACGUGAGCUGGGUUUAAAACGUCGUGAGACAGUUUGGUCCCUAUCUUCCGUGGGCGCUGCAGAUUUGAGGAAGCCUGCUCCUAGUACGAGAGGACCGGAGUGGACGAACCUCUGGUGUAUCGGUUGUCACGCCAGUGGCAUUGCCGAGUAGCUAAGUUCGGAAGAGAUAACCGCUGAAAGCAUCUAAGCGGGAAACUCGUUUCAAGAUUAGAUCUGCCGGGGCCUUGAGCCCCCUAAAGAGUCGUUCAAGACCAGGACGUUGAUAGGUCAGGUGUGGAAGCGCAGUAAUGCGUUAAGCUAACUGAUACUAAUUGCUCGUGCGGCUUGACCU
rnacentral:rRNA from 1 species